GGAAAGGCGCAGCGAGGAGCGGCCGCUCCACGUUCAGAUGGUGCAGCAAAGCCGGGCUCGGCCGGGGCAGCGCCACAAAGGCGGCUCAGAGCAGCUCCCGCUUCAUGGAGCCCAUUCACAGUGUGCCCAGUUUGUGUUUAUUCAUGGGGACCGCAGCACUGGGCUGUGGGAGACGACUCACUUAGCGCUGAGCUCUCAGUAAUUGGCUAUCAGCUCAGCGGUCCUCUUUGUGUCAGAGCAAAGCAUGGGAGUCGCACCACGCGUGACGCCUGCAUGGCAGCACACACCGAGCCGCGGAGACGUCACACAAGCAGAUGUGCCACAGCCCUUUGAGCAGUGAGCGAACGAACCAGUUGCACAUCUGCACUGAGCAAGCCAAAGCAUGAAUCCUGAAGGCACGAGUGGAAACAAAGAGGCUCUGCAAACCGUGCCGGCUGCUUGCUGUGCGAGAUGGACGUUUCCUUCUGGUGUGGCUGCUCUGAUGUACACACAGACACCUCGCUUCCAAAGGCAGACACACAGCUGCUGUUGCACUGGAGCAGCCCUGGUAGUGGGUCAUUGUACUGCUCUGAGCAUCUCUGGCACUGGGACCCAAAUAUAACACGAGCACUUGAUCCGGCACACAUUUUGGAUAACAGAAAACUUCCUACAGCUUUUAAUGAGUUCUGGACCGGGUCCCAGGUCGUCGUCGUGCUGUUUUGUGAAAUUACUGAGAUUUAUGUCCGGCUAUUUAAUAUCAGCCUGAAAAAAGACCCCAAAGCCCUGCCCCCGCUCAGCAACGUGUCGUGCUCCCCAGCCAAAGACUUUAAUCUUUCAUCUUGUUUGGUUUUUUCCCUCUGCGCUGAUGUUUUUUUUUCCUAACUCGGCCACCUCAGCACAACGUUUUGCAGGCACCUGGCAGAGCGCAAUGCAGCAGCUGCAGGCAGGCCGUGGCUUCCAGGAGGUCAGACGGUGAGCGGUGCAGGGCAGCCCUCCCUAUUGGGGUCCGGCAGUGCCCAUCUCCAGCUGGAGCCGCCGCGGAGGGGCCGUGCUGUGCCGGGGAGCUCCGAGCCGAUCGUUUUAAUACCAGAGCGACACCAAAGGGGGUCAAGUAAAUAAAUAUGCAUGCCUCACUAGUUCAAAAUAAUAAAAUUCCAAUGUGU
rnacentral:lncRNA from 7 species